AGCCUAAAUCUUAUUUCAUAAGACAUGGCACAAAAUCCACAUGCAUACUGAACCCGUCAUUCAGAUCCAUGCAUGUGGUCUAUAUCCGAAAGGGUAUGGGAGACGCAAGUCUC
rnacentral:sRNA from 12 species